ACUCAAAGGAAUUGGCGGGGACCCGCACAAGCGGUGGAUGAUGUGGAUUAAUUCGAUGCAACGCGAAAAACCUUACCUGCCCUUGACAUGUCUGGAAUCCCGAAGAGAUUUGGGAGUGCUCGCAAGUGAACCGGAACACAGGUGCUGCAUGGCUGUCGUCAGCUCGUGUCGUGNGAUGUUGGGUUAAGUCCCGCAACGAGCGCAACCCUUGUCAUUAGUUGCUACGAAAGGGCACUCUAAUGAGACUGCCGUGACAAACCGGAGGAAGGUGGGGAUGACGUCAAGUCUUCAUGGUCUUUAUGGGUAGGGCUUC
rnacentral:rRNA from 1 species